rnacentral:ncRNA from 2 species
UCACGCACAGGGCAAACCAAUCGAAAGGUUGGGACGCAAAGCCUCCGGCCUUAGCUUGAUGACAGUAUCUGUCAUCUAAAAGGUAGCGGGGUUACCGAU